UGUGUGUGUGUUUUGGUAUUAGUUAGAUGCAUGGUUUUUGUAUCAAAUUUCACCACACUGUAGCUUUCCUUCUACUAGCAGUCAAUGGAGAAAAAAAAAAGUUUAUUUUCCUCCAGUUUUUCUUGAAAAUCAAUUUUUGUUGGUAUUAAAAUGUGACCUUCUUUUAUAUAUGCUAGAUUACACCACUGUAAAUAACCCUUUGGCCUUUGUUAAAUUCUGGUAUAUAUCAUCUAUAACACGUGAUGACCUUCAACUUGAACCCAUCAUCCUUUACAUAAAUGCUGGUCCAAUAUAAUGAUGUACUAGCAAUUAUAAUCUAAAGAAAG
rnacentral:misc_RNA from 1 species